rnacentral:rRNA from 1 species
CGGAACGGGUGAGUAAUACAUCGGAACGUGCCCAGUAGUGGGGGAUAACCCGGCGAAAGCCGGACUAAUACCGCAUACGACCUACGGGUGAAAGCAGGGGAUCGCAAGACCUUGCGCUAUCGGAGCGGCCGAUGUCAGAUUAGCUUGUUGGCGGGGUAAAAGCCCACCAAGGCGACGAUCUGUAGCUGGUCUGAGAGGACGACCAGCCACACUGGGACUGAGACACGGCCCAG